GGGCGCGUAGGCGGAUUAUCAAGUCUCUUGUGAAAUCUAAUGGCUUAACCAUUAAACUGCUUGGGAAACUGAUAGUCUAGAGUGAGGGAGAGGCAGAUGGAAUUGGUGGUGUAGGGGUAAAAUCCGUAGAUAUCACCAAGAAUACCCAUUGCGAAGGCGAUCUGCUGGAACUCAACUGACGCUAAGGCGCGAAAGCGUGGGGAGCAAACAGGAUUAGAUACCCUGGUAGUCCACGCCCUAAACGAUGUACACUAGUUGUUGGGAUGCUAGUCAUCUCAGUAAUGCAGCUAACGCAUUAAGUGUACCGCCUGGGGAGUACGGUCGCAAGAUUAAAACUCAAAGGAAUAGACGGGGACCCGCACAAGCGGUGGAGCAUGUGGUUUAAUUCGAAGAUACGCGAAGAACCUUACCUGGGCUUGAUAUCCUAAGAACCUUUUAGAGAUAAGAGGGUGCUAGCUUGCUAGAACUUAGAGACAGGUGCUGCACGGCUGUCGUCAGCUCGUGUCGUGAGAUGUUGGGUUAAGUCCCGCAACGAGCGCAACCCACGUAUUUAGUUGCUAACGGUUCGGCCGAGCACUCUAAAUAGACUGCCUUCGUAAGGAGGAGGAAGGUGUGGACGACGUCAAGUCAUCAUGGCCCUUAUGCCCAGGGCGACACACGUGCUACAAUGGCAUAUACAAUGAGACGCAAUACCGCGAGGUGGAGCAAAUCUAUAAAAUAUGUCCCAGUUCGGAUUGUUCUCUGCAACUCGAGAGCAUGAAGCCGGAAUCGCUAGUAAUCGUAGAUCAGCCAUGCUACGGUGAAUACGUUCCCGGGUCUUGUAC
rnacentral:rRNA from 1 species